GCACCGUUGGUAUAGCCUGGUCUAUCAUUGGGGAUUUCCAAUCCUUAGACAUGCGUUCAAAUCGCAUACGGUGCA
rnacentral:tRNA from 1 species